GAUGAACGCUAGCGGCAGGCCUAAUACAUGCAGGUCGAACGGGAUCCAGAUCAAAGCUUGCUUUGGUUUGGUGAGAGUGGCGCACGGGUGCGUAACGCGUGAGCAACCUACCCUUGUCAGGGGGAUAGCCCGGCGAAAGUCGGAUUAAUACCGCAUGACAUCAUUGAGAGGCAUCUUUCGAUGAUCAAUGAUUUAUCGGACAAGGAUGGGCUCGCGUGACAUUAGCUAGUUGGUAAGGUAACGGCUUACCAAGGCUACGAUGUCUAGGGGCUCUGAGAGGAGAAUCCCCCGCACUGGUACUGAGACACGGACCAGACUCCUACGGGAGGCAGCAGUAAGGAAUAUUGGUCAAGGGAGGGAAGUCUGAACCAGCCAUGCCGCGUGCAGGAAGACGGCGCUAGGGGUUGUAAACUGCUUUUAUACGGGAACAAAAGGCGGUACGUGUACCGGUCUGAGUGUACCGAAAGAAUAAGAAUCGGCUAACUCCGUG
rnacentral:rRNA from 1 species